AACGAACGCUGGCGGUAUGCCUAAUACAUGCAAGUCGAACGAGAAAGUUCCUUCGGGGAUGAGUACAGUGGCGCACGGGUGAGUAACGCGUAGGUGACCUACCUAUUAGUGGGGAAUAACAUCGGGAAACCGGUGCUAAUACCGCAUGUGAUGGAGAAAUUGAAAUACUUCAUCAAAGAUGGCCUCUCCUUGGAAGCUGUCGCUAGUAGAAGGGCCUGCGUACCAUUAGCUUGUUGGUGGGGUAAUGGCCUACCAAGGCGAUGAUGGUUAGCUGGUCUGAGAGGAUGAUCAGCCACACUGGAACUGAGACACGGUCCAG
rnacentral:rRNA from 1 species